CCUACGGGAGGCAGCAGUGAGGAAUAUUGGUCAAUGGACGAGAGUCUGAACCAGCCAAGUAGCGUGAAGGAUGACUGCCCUAUGGGUUGUAAACUUCUUUUAUAUGGGAAUAAAAUGUUCCACGUGUGGGAUUUUGUAUGUACCAUAUGAAUAAGGAUCGGCUAACUCCGUGCCAGCAGCCGAGGUAAUACGGAGGAUCCGAGCGUUAUCCGGAUUUAUUGGGUUUAACGGGAGCGUAGGUGGAUUGUUAAGUCAGUUGUGAAAGUUUGCGGCUCAACCGUAAAAUUGCAGUUGAAACUGGCAGUCUUGAGUACAGUAGAGGUGGGCGGAAUUCGUGGUGUAGCGGUGAAAUGCUUAGAUAUCACGAAGAACUCCGAUUGCGAAGGCAGUUCACUGGACUGCAACUGACACUGAGGCUCGAAAGUGUGGGUAUCAAACAGGAUUAGAUACCCUAGUAGUC
rnacentral:rRNA from 1 species